rnacentral:lncRNA from 1 species
UUUGAGGAACAACUGGAAAAGUGUCGAUGGAAGACCUGAGACAUAGUCCCAAGGCCAAAGCGGAUCCCGAGAAACGAAGCCUCUCUGACCGCGAGUCAGGUUCAGUAAAGACGGAGCAAGGAAACAGGCGCCACCAGAAAGAGCCCUGCAUCUCCGACGGAAACCACAAUGGAAUCCUGCACUUCCACUCUGCACUGUCUCUCAGCCACAAGCAUUCGGGCAGCCAAGCCUCCCAGCGGUCCCCUCUGGAGGCUGAAGCUGGAGGACAUCCGUCCCCCUCAGCCCCCCCGCCCCACCUCUAGCUGAAGCACAGCUUUGGCAUGCCUCUUCCGCCACCCUUUCCUGGGAACCUCACUUUUUGGAGCAUCCCAGCUUGGCCAUACCAAGAGAGGCAACAGCAUCUGGGCUGUGGACUCCAAGCAGCUUGACUGGGGUUUAACUGUGAUGCUGAAUUCACCUCAUGCAGGAGUCUGGGGCUCUGUUUACAACAUGUGUCAUAUCCUUUCUCAGUGCCCCCGCCCCCAGCUGCCCUCCUCCCAACUCCUCUCCCCCCACCUAACCCCCGCCUUCCCUCCACAACCUCCUGGCCAAAUAAACAGAUUUCUCUCUAAGUGAAGGGGCUGGGGAAGCCGACAAUUACUGUCCCUGAUUUCACUGAGGAAACUUUACAGCGGACAGACGCACUGAAAAAUCUUCCUCUGCCCUCCCACUCCUCCAAGAGAGCGAAAAAAUCCAUCAAAUUAACACAUCAAUGAGUUGAUUGUAAUCUCCAGAGCCCGGUGUAGCACUUUCUAGCCUCUGAGACGGGCCCGGCAUGAUUUAUCAAUGCAAACCUAAUAGCAUCAAUAUGAAUCUAACUAAAAAUCAAUAUUUCAUUACCAAAUUGUUAGUGAGAAUGAAGAAAAAUUGCCGGAGUCGGAGUGUUCUCCAGGGUAGGAGCAUCUGGAGUUCAAUGUGACAAGAUGAGUGAUGUGUGACUUGGGGCCCGGGAAGGACGAUGGGAGGACAGGGGCCAGCCCGCGCCGUGGCCCGAGCCUCCUGGAGAAAUCGCCCUGCGCUUCUCUCCUUCGUUUUUUUUUUUUUUCCUUCAGCCUCCUCGGAGCAGGCAAAGGAAGAAAUGGUGGGAGGAGGGGAGCAGAAACC